rnacentral:rRNA from 1 species
UACGGGGGGAGCAAGCGUCGUUCGGAUUUACUGGGCGUAAAGGGCGCGUAGGCGGCGCAACAAGUCACUUGUGAAAUCUCCGGGCUUAACCCGGAGCGGCCAAGUGAUACUGUCGUGCUAGAGUGCGGAAGGGGCUACUGGAAUUCUCGGUGUAGCGGUGAAAUGCGUAGAUAUCGAGAGGAACACCUGCGGCGAAGGCGGGUAGCUGGGCCGACACUGACGCUGAGGCGCGAAAGCCAGGGGAGCGAACGGG